rnacentral:misc_RNA from 1 species
UGAAAGAGAAAAGUUUGACUAAAGAAGCAGGUUGUAGCUGGAUCGAGGUGGAAAAUAAAGUGCAUAAGUUCUAUGUGGCUGAUACUUCACACCCACAAGUUUUAGAGAUUUAUGAUGAGCUAGAUCAAUUGGCUCUAAAAAUAAAGGAAUUGGGCUAUGUUCCAAGCACAGAUUUUGUUCUUCAUGAUGUUGAGGAGGAGCAAAAGGAGCAAUAUUUGUUUCAACACAGUGAGAGAAUUGCUGUUGCAUUUGGUUUCAUCAGCACA